rnacentral:rRNA from 1 species
CAGAGGAGCCAAGCGUUGUCCGGAUUGACUGGGCGUAAAGCGCACGCAGGCGGUUGCGCGCGUGGGGUGUGAAAUCUGGCCGCUUAACGGCCAGGCGCCAUCCCAUACGGCACAACUGGAGGGCUGCAGAGGUCGAUGGAAUUGCCGGUGUAGUGGUGAAAUUCGUAGAUAUUCGCAAGAACACCAGUGGCGAAGGCGGCUCACUGGCCCGAUACUGACGCUGAGGCACGAAAGCGUGGGGAGCAAACAGG